GGAAAAUUUCCCAAGUUGCAUUUUUAAGAGAGAUGGGGAAGGGGCAAAAGUAUGAGUAACUGGUGAGGUCUAAUGGCAGGAGGGGAAAAGCAAUGUCAGAGCUACCUAAUUUCAUGCAUGCAAUAAGGUUAUUUAUGUUAUGAACCUCAUUACUGCCCAAAAUCAAACAACAAAACUUCCUCCGACACGUCCAAAAUCUCUUCGACUUCAACCUCUUUGGCUUCGUAUUCCUCUUCUUCGUCACUGGCUUCACCAUCUCGCAGCUUCUGCCUCAACAACUUCUCUUCUUCGUGCAAUCUCUUCCAUUCAUUCACCCACUUGUCCCACUCGUCCUUCAAUGCUUUCCGUUUCUCACGCUCCUGCUCGCUCAGU
rnacentral:misc_RNA from 1 species